CACGUAGGGGGCAAGCGUUGUCCGGAUUUAUUGGGCGUAAAGAGCGUGUAGGCGGCCUGGUAGGUCAGUUGUGAAAACUCGAGGCUCAACCUCGAGACGCCGAUUGAAACCAUCAGGCUAGAGUCCGGAAGAGGAGAGUGGAAUUCCCGGUGUAGCGGUGAAAUGCGCAGAUAUCGGGAAGAACACCCGUGGCUAAGGCGGCUCUCUAGUACGGUACUGACGCUGAGACGCGAAAGCGUGGGGAGCGAACAGG
rnacentral:rRNA from 1 species